CUUACAGUCUAUAUGAAAUGAUAUUUUCAAAGAGCAAUUAUAAGAUUGAAUUAUUUCAUGUCAAUAAGAUAUGUUGAUUUGCUUCUUCUUCAGACAGAUCAAUCUGGAGGAUUAGAAAAUCAAUGAAACAUUAAAUGAAUGAAACAUUUAAUUAAGAAUGAAUUGAAACUGUAUCUCUAAGUCACACAACAAAACAUGUUUUCUGUGUUAGGAUUUUCCAUGAUAUGUUUGCUUAAAGGGCAUGAAUCUGAUUUUCAAAUUUGACUUUGUCAGGCAAACAUUGCAGAAAAGGCUCCUGAUGAUGGCCGCGUGUGCAUGGCUGAACCAUUCAAGUUCUGGGUUUUUCAGACGUCAACAAACACAGACAAAGGUUUGGUAAACCUGUAGAAGAGGAAGAGAUUCUGUCGCUCUUUCCUGACGAUAUAAUAAAGAUAAUAGAGGAUGAUGUGAUAGAAACUAAAUCGUUCCAACAGGAUGUACCUGCAGAACCCAAUGUCCUCAUUACCACUGAAACAGCACUUGAAGCCAAGGACGCUAAACUUAAGUGACCACCGGGUAUAUUCAAAUCUCAUCAGUCGUGUGUGUUCAUACAUGAUUUGUUCUGAUAUUUCCCGUUCUCGUCAGAUCUUUCAGUUGCUGAGGGCCGUUGAAGAUGCCACAGGAGUCAGGUCCUUCAUCCAGAAAGAGGAGAUCCAGAUCCUGGAUCAGGUUCUUGACGUCAUGCUCCCAGAAAUCCUAAUCAGCAUCCUGACAAACCAGGGAGAGACGAGACUGCAGUUCUUCAUGUUGUAUGAUGGAGUCAUGAGGAAAACUUGAUCUAUAAAGAUGUUCCAGAGGGAGAUGGCAAAGCACUGGAAGAACCUCCUGAAACUUUUUCCCAACACAUCCAAGGACGACCAUGAUGGAGUCUCAACAAGUUCUGUCCAGGAUGUGAAGAACCGUCCAU
rnacentral:lncRNA from 1 species